UACGAAGGGGGCUAGCGUUGCUCGGAAUCACUGGGCGUAAAGCGCACGUAGGCGGAUUGUUAAGUCAGGGGCGAAAGCCUGGAGCUCAACUCCAGAACUGCCCUUGAUACUGGCAAUCUCGAGUCCGGAAGAGGUAAGUGGAACUCCGAGUGUAGAGGUGAAAUUCGUAGAUAUUCGGAAGAACACCAGUGGCGAAGGCGGCUUACUGGUCCGGUACUGACGCUGAGGUGCGAAAGCGUGGGGAGCAAACAGG
rnacentral:rRNA from 1 species